AUACGGAGGGUGCAAGCGUUGUUCGGAAUCACUGGGCGUAAAGGGCGCGCAGGCGGUUUGGUAAGUCAGAUGUGAAAGCCCACGGCUCAACCGUGGAAGUGCAUUUGAAACUGUCAGACUUGAGUACUAGAGGGGAAAGUGGAAUUCCCGGUGUAGAGGUGAAAUUCGUAGAUAUCGGGAGGAAUACCGGUGGCGAAGGCGACUUUCUGGCUAGAUACUGACGCUGAGGCGCGAAAGCGUGGGGAGCAAACAGGAUUAGAUACCCCGGUAGUCC
rnacentral:rRNA from 1 species